GCCCUUGGUUGUGGCCCGGUCCGGUCCCAAUGGGCCCGCUCGCUUCUGGUUCCGGCCCGCGCAGGUUCCGCCCGAGGCUGGAUCGCCUGCGGCGCCGCCCGGAGACUCGGAGGCUCGGGGAAGAGGCCGGGGGCGCAGGCCGAGAGGUCUGUGUGGGUCAGGGCCGCCCGGGCUCGCUGCCCGCGGACUCUGACCUGCGUCGGCAGCCACGGCCAAUGCCGAUCCGGGCUCGAAACUUCGGGCGACCUGUGACCAACUUGGCUGUCGCAUCUCAAGAUGUCCGAAGGCCCAGCUGA
rnacentral:lncRNA from 1 species